UCAAUAAACACUAAACAACUCACCCAGGUUACAACACUGCACUGUUCGCAAACUACUUCACCAUGGAUCAACAGCGAAUAUACAACCUGUGAGAACUCCAGUACCAAGUGACCCAGGUAGCAGCAUCACAGCCACAACUUCACGUACGACGUGUACCGCAACCAGCUCUGCAUCAACGCCGCAACUUCUUGAUACAGUAUUUCAACUAUCAUGUACAGUUGACUACGAACUAGUAUUCAUCAUUCUUUUGUCAAUGAACUUACUCCUCACUUCGAUGGCUACAGACUCCUUCACUGUCCCUUCUUCAUCGCCAUCCUUGUAUGUUCUUAACGUGCAUACAUCUAUGCCUAC